AAUUAUCAUCAUGACUAUAAUAGUUACUCACAUUUUUCAUAUUUGGUGCAGAAAACACAUACCGUUUGAAGGUUAAUUCUGGCAGGACUUACCUUCUGCGAGUUAUAAAUGCCGUGAUGAACGAAGAACAAUUCUUCGGAAUUGCGGGCCAUAGCCUUACAGUUGUUGGACAAGAUGCGGCAUACAUAAAACCCAUAACCACCAACUAUAUAAUGAUCACCCCAGGACAAACAAUGGAAAUUUUGGUCACAGCAAAUCAGCCUCCAAGCUAUUAUUACAUUGCUUCUCACUCUUUUGUUGAUGGUGCUGGGAUUGCAUUUGACAACACCACUACUACAGCUAUUUUCCAAUAUAAUGGCAACUAUAGCCGCCCUAAAUCUAUUCCACGCCCAGUCCUCCCAGUAUUUAAUGAUACUGCAGCUGCAGAAAACUACACCAGUCGUGUCAGGGGUUUAGCUAGCAGAGACCACCCUGUUAAUGUCCCUCAAAUAAUUAACCGACGUCUUUAUAUUACAAUUGCUUUGAAUUUUUUGCCUUGCACCGAGGCAACAUGUAAUUCUUCAACUCGGUUAGCUGCAAGCAUGAACAACGUCAGUUUUGCAGCUAAGCCAAUUGAUAUAUUGCAAGCCUACUAUAGAAGUAUCAAUGGUGUUUUCGACGCAGAUUUCCCAAGUGAGCCACAAAAGUAUUUCAACUUCACUGGAGAUGUGACGAGUAUUAAUGUCGCUACGGCCAGAGGCACAAAGGUGACGAUGUUGAAUUAUGGGGAAGCAGUUGAGAUAGUCUUUCAAGGGACUAAUUUGUUAGCUGAGAUGAACCAUCCUAUCCAUCUACAUGGAUUUAGUUUCUACUUGGUUGGUCAUGGAAAGGGUAAUUUCAACAACGAGACUGAUCCCAAGUCUUACAAUUUGAUCGAUCCUCCUGAAAUCAACACUGUUGCACUUCGUCGGAGCGGGUGGGCUGCCAUCAGAUUUGUCGCCAACAAUCCUGGUAAGUCCUCUAGAAGAUAUCUCUUACCAAUAGUUUAAGUUUUCUAAUCCACGUAUAGUUUAACAGUACUGGAGACAGCUAGCCCCGUUAUUUUAAGCACAAACUGUCCUUUUCCAAGUCUUGUUGUAUAGCGAUAUUGAGCAUGGAUCCCAUUUUUCAGGGGUGUGGUUCAUCCAUUGUCACUUGGAAAAGCACUCAAGCUGGGGCAUGGACACAGUUCUCAUCGUGAGGAACGGCAAUACAACGGCACAAAGUAUGCGCCCUCCUCCGGCGACCCUGCCAUCCUGCUCCUAGUCCUCUGCAAUAACGCAAGUGAAGCAAAUGACUGUUUAAUCAAGAUUUAAUUAUUUGAAUUUUUUCUUUCGCAGCAUUAUGGUCAUUGUGAUUUGAAUAAAUCCUUAAGAAAGAACAUUUCAUUUCAUUUUAUUUUGGUAUUAGGGAAAAUUUCAUUUGUAACUGUAAUGUCAGCCUUUUCUUCGCUAUUAAUUUAAUAAAGGAAUUUGCACCGACUUGUGUACUUUUCCGCUCCAUGUUGGUAUUUUAAAUUUCUGCUUUCUGCUCCCAUGGAAUGAUUACUAGAAAAUUCAAAAAAGGCGGAGACACUAUUUUGUCGGUAAUUUCCGAUAAAAAUACCAACCAAAUAUUUGUAUUAAUAAUAAUCAAUUAAAAUGACAAUGGGAUUUAAAAAGUAAAAAAAAGAAUCAUUAAAAAUUCUAUCAAUUUAACGUGUGAUGAAAUUACCAACAAAUAAUCUCUAGAAAAUAAAUAAUAAUAAUUAAACUCACGCCUCUUCAACAACUUUAUGAACUUGGACAUCAUUUUUAGAUUUAAUUUUCCCAUAUCAUAAUUGGUUUUCAUCCUAGAGAUAUUUUUAGAAUUAUAAUAGUAGUUGUUUUUUAAAGUAAUUUUUAUUUAAAAAUAUAUUAAAAUAAAAAAUAUUAUAUUCAACAUCAAUAUAUUAAAAUAAUCUAAAAAUUAAUUUAAAAUAAAAAUAAAAAUAAAAUAAUUCACAUACUUUUAAAAGGAAUUUUAAACGUUAAAAGAAUCCGAAUCCGGAUAUUAGUGACAGGGAGAUGGAAGAAGAAAAUGCUUGCCACCCAUCAAAUCUCGAGGAUUAUCUUAGAAAAAGCAGCUUAAAUAUCAAAGUAGAAUGAACGAAAGAGUUAAGAAAGAUUACAAUUUCUAACCACUUUGUUUGUUUGUAAGCGUUAAUGUCAACAAAUUCAUUUUGACCACUAGAGUGAAGAGUUCUCGGGGAUUUGUUCUUGUAGGGAAUCCAUGUUGACACGUUUUUUUAAUUGAAAAUUCAUAAACAUUAGAUAUAGAUAAUUCAUGCAAAACGUUAAUAAUGUAUCUAUCAAUUUUAAAUUCAUUUUUUUUUUAUCAAAAUCAAACUCAAUUUCAUUAAAUAACAAAUAAAAUUAAUUUGCAUCAAAUCUCAAACAAAUUCUAAUAUACAAAUUAAUAAAAACAAAUUACAAUCAAAAGAGAAAAGUUGACACUAUUUAUAAAUAUAGUUCGAUGCAACAACUUUGGUGGCCGGAUUUCUGAAGAGGGUGGCCGGAUUUGCUAGAAAAUGUAAAUGGGAUUGUUUGUUUUUUUUUUUUGACAAAAGGUUAAAGAAGAAAUGGAGGGAAGAACUUUCAGGUUUUAAUUCAUUUAAAUAUGCAUAUAAUAAUUUUCAUUAAAAAUUACUGAUAUAAUAUUUUUCAUCGGUAUUAUUAUUGUUAUUUGUCAAUUUUCUAUUAGUAUCCAUUAUAGUUUACUUCUUACAAAUAUAAUAAAUUUUUAUCUAACCUAAUUUUUAUUUUAAAUUGACAUAAAGUGACUAAAAGUUUUAAAUAGAUUUUUUAAGGGGACUUGAAGAAUGAAAUAUGUGUCCCAACCCAAAAAAAAUUAGAAAAAAACUUAUCAAUACAUAGGUUUUUGUCUCGUAUCUUUUUUUUUUAAAAAAUCAAUUAAUUGUAAUAAUCAGUUUGUUAGUAUUCUACAAAUCACUCCUUUGUCAAUUAUUUUUCAUUUGAAUCGAUGUUUACACAGAUCCAACACACAAAAGUCGUACUAUGAAUGAAUGAAAAUGCUUCCUCCUCACCUGCUAUGCACGUGGACCAUUCAUUUAAGAUGAAACUUGAGUUUCCCCUCAGCUAAACACAACAAAUUGCAAAUAUAAUUUAUCAAUUUAAUGUUUAACACUCUCACCUCUUUUUCUCUAUCAUUAAUAUAACCACCUUACAGUCAUAUAUAUAUAUAUAUAUAUAUAUAUAUAUAUAUAUAUAUAUAUAUAUAUAUAUAAAAUUAAUAUUGAAAGAUGUAACUCAACUGAUCAGUCCCGUCACAAAUUUUAUAGCUAUUUAAAACUUACUUGAUCUUUAAUUUUAGAAUUUUAAAAAAUUAGUUGAGAUACACAUAAACUAACACAGAUAUUUACGAUUAAAAAAGAAGAAGAAAUGAAGAAAAAGAAUGAUUAAUAAUAAUAAUAAUUCUUUUUCCCCCUAAUGCAUUGGUAGCAUUAUAUUACUAUUAUUAUCAUCAUCGUGCGUGUCGUGUGUGUUUUUUUUCCUUUCUAUUUUUUUUUUUGGGGGGGGGUUGGGGGGGCAUAGGGUUGUUGAUUUCACGUUUAAGACAUGGUCAAGAUGGGCAGCACAUAUGUCUAACUAGCUAGGGUAAGGACGCUCGCUGGGGUUCCCCUUGCCGAGAGGCGGGCUUCGAAUGUUCUGCCUUUGAAAAUGAGAACCUGGCUUUCCGCGUUCUUUAUUCGCGAAGAAGCAAUCCAAGCUACUCCUUACUAGAAAGUCAUUUCAUGGGUGCCAACAUAUAAUCAUAUUAUAAUCGAAAACAAAGAAAAUAACAGCAAAACCAAGGAACACAGCGCCUACAGUUCCCUUUAGAAUAUGUUAAUGUACCUACCCUCUUAGCUGUGUUCAAUUUCCCAGGGUGGUGUUCUUGCGUGUUUUGACUAAUCCGUUAUUUUUAUCCAAGUUGAUUUCUCUUUUUUUCCAUGUGUUUUGGUAGGUCUUUCUUUGAAAGUUCAAAGGUCUAAUUUAUUGAUAUCAUGACAAAGUAAAAUUAAUCAUCUCGUGGAUCCCCAAGGGUUUCUUAUAUAAAUAGCCAAGGAUGCAGGCUAGUAUGAUCACCACAAAGCGAGAACUACCUGAAGAACAUCAUCGAUUAUAUACAGAGAGAUAGAGAGUGAGAGAGAGAAUUUGAUUAUAUAUCGUUACGAGAGCAGUGAUAGGAAAUGGGGAUAAGCAGGUUGGGUUUUAUCGCAGGGCUGAUAUGGUUUAUGGCCAUGGAUUGGCAGGGCCUUUGCAUGGCUCAAAGCAAUGUUCACCGCUAUAAUUUUGUUGUAAGCCUUUACUUCUUCAUGCUUGCAGAUUGCUUCUUCUUCUUCUUCUUCCUCUUCUUCUUCUUCCUCUUCUUCUUUAAUUUAUACUUAGCCUAAUCCAUUUUGUUAACUGAGUUUACGUUAUGCACUCUGCUUAUUCAAAACUCCCAUUAAUUGUUUCAGCUAAAUGCUUAAAAUUUUGCUUUUAAUUUUUACUUUUUUUCUUCUUUAUUUGCAGCUACAAAAUGCCCAGUUUACAAGAUUGUGCGAGACAAAGACUAUGCUUACUGUAAACGGAAGUUUUCCAGGGCCAACAAUACAUGCUCGUAGAGGCGAUACAAUCUAUGUUAAUGUGCACAAUGAAGGAGAUUACGGCGUCACGAUUCAUUGGUAAUCUUUCUUUAAUAAGAUAAAAAAUGGUGUUAAAAAAAAAACAAAACUCUGAUAGGUCAGCUAAGAUUAAAUACUUUAAUUUGGAGACCGUGGUACUGUACAUUUCAUUAAUUAUAAUAUUAUAUCAUCAAUCUUCUAGAUAUGAAGGUCCCAAUUAGGCGAACCUAGCUAACAUUUAUUUUAAUAUUCUUAUAUUUCAGGCAUGGGGUGAAGCAACCAAGAAAUCCAUGGUCUGAUGGCCCCGAAAAUAUCACACAGUGCCCAAUUCAGCCAGGAAAAAACUUCACAUACGAGAUCAUAUUAUCUGAUGAAGAAGGAACUCUGUGGUGGCAUGCACAUAGCGACUGGACUCGAGCCACAGUCCAUGGUGCCAUUGUCAUCUCGCCGGCUCGUGGAACCACCUAUCCGUUUCCCGCACCUUAUGCAGAACAAACAAUUAUUAUUGGUGCGCAACGAGUUCCAUCAUGGAUUCUUAUUGUUUGUUCAAAAAAGAAAGUUUCCACUCAAACGUCUCAGAUCUUCUUUCUAAAUUGUACAUCUAACUUUUUAAAUUUCAAAAAAAAAAUUGUUUGCAGGAUCUUGGUUUAAGGGUGAUGUGAAGGCGGUGAUUGACGAAGCUCUUGCAACCGGUGGUGGACCUAAUAUAUCCAACAGUCUUACCAUCAAUGGCCAGCCAGGAGAUCUAUAUCCAUGCUCCGAAGGUAAGCCAUGCAUGCCGUACCUAUCUGAAUAAUUUGGAGAUUAGCGGGGUCAAACUUCAAUUAUCAUCAUGACUAUAAUAGUUACUCACAUUUUUCAUAUUUGGUGCAGAAAACACAUACCGUUUGAAGGUUAAUUCUGGCAGGACUUACCUUCUGCGAGUCAUAAAUGCCGUGAUGAACGAAGAACAAUUCUUCGGAAUUGCGGGCCAUAGCCUCACAGUUGUUGGACAAGAUGCGGCGUACAUAAAACCCAUAACCACCAACUAUAUAAUGAUCACCCCAGGACAAACAAUGGACAUUUUGGUCACAGCAAAUCGGCCUCGAAGCUAUUAUUACAUUGCUUCUCACUCUUUUGCUGAUGGUGCUGGGAUUGCAUUUGACAACACCACUACUACAGCUAUUUUCCAAUAUAAUGGCAACUAUGGCCGCCCAUCAUCUAUUCCACUCCCAGUCCUCCCAAUAUUUAAUGAUACUGCAGCUGCAGAAAACUACACCAGUCGUGUCAGGGGUUUAGCUAGCAGAGACCACCCUGUUAAUGUCCCUCAAACAAUUAACCGACGUCUUUAUAUUGCAAUUGCUUUGAAUUUUUUGCCUUGCACCGAGGCAACAUGCACAGGACCAAAUCGG
rnacentral:lncRNA from 1 species